UACAGAGGGUGCGAGCGUUAAUCGGAAUUACUGGGCGUAAAGCGUGCGUAGACGGUUAUUUAAGUCGGGUGUGAAAGCCCCGGGCUCAACCUGGGAAUUGCAUUCGAGACUGAAUAGCUAGGGUACGGUAGAGGGAAGUGGAAUUUCCGGUGUAGCUGUGAAAUGCGUAGAUAUCGGAAGGAACAUCAGUGGCGAAAGCGACUUCCUGGACCAGUACCGACGUUCAGGCACGAAAGCGUGGGGAGCAAACAGG
rnacentral:rRNA from 1 species